GGUGCGGAAUAGCUCAGGGAAACUUGAGGUAAUACCGUAUAAGCCCCUAGGGGGAAAGAUUUAUCGCCAUUGGAUGGGCCCGCGUCGGAUUAGCUAGUUGGUGAGGUAACGGCUCACCAAGGCAACGAUCCGUAGCUGGUUUGAGAGAAUGACCAGCCACACUGGGACUGAGACACGGCCCAGACUCCUACGGGAGGCAGCAGUGGGGAAUCUUGGACAAUGGGCGCAAGCCUGAUCCAGCCAUGCCGCGUGAGUGACGAAGGCCUUAGGGUUGUAAAGCUCUUUUGCCGGGGACGAUAAU
rnacentral:rRNA from 1 species